AGGACGAACGCUGGCGGCGCGCCUAACACAUGCAAGUCGAGCGAGAACCAGGGCUUGCCCUGGGGAAAGCGGCGAACGGGUGAGUAACACGUGAGCAAUCUGCCCUUGACUCUGGGAUAACUUCGGGAAACCGGAGCUAAUACCGGAUAUGACGCACGGCCGCAUGGUCUGUGUGUGGAAAGAUUUAUCGGUCAAGGAUGAGCUCGCGGCCUAUCAGCUUGUUGGUGGGGUAAUGGCCUACCAAGGCGACGACGGGUAGCCGGCCUGAGAGGGCGACCGGCCACACUGGGACUGAGACACGGCCCAGACUCCUACGGGAGGCAGCAGUGGGGAAUAUUGCGCAAUGGGCGAAAGCCUGACGCAGCGACGCCGCGUGAGGGAUGAAGGCCUUCGGGUCGUAAACCUCUUUCAGCAGGGAAGAAGCGAAAGUGACGGUACCUGCAGAAGAAGCACCGGCUAACUACGUGCCAGCAGCCGCGGU
rnacentral:rRNA from 1 species